rnacentral:lncRNA from 1 species
AUAGGAGCAGACCAUCUUGAAAUUGCUUUAAAUUUAUUGAAAACUCAAAUACUGGUUGUCCUUCUUGCUCUUUGUAUAAAAGGUAAUUGUAAUUGCUUUUAAAUCUGGCCUCACUGUAGGUAUUGGACCUUAUCAUCCCACUUAGAGAGCUGGCACAUGCAGAUGCAAAUGUUGCGUAUCAUUUGUGGGUCUUGGUGUUUCCUAUUGUUUGGGUGACCUUGCACAAGGAUGAACAGGUAACACUAGCUAAGCCCAUGAUAGCCCUCUUGUCAAAGGACUAUCAUAAGAAGCAGCAAGCACAUAGGCCAAAUGUUGUGCAAGCUCUUUCGGAAGGACUUCAAUUAUGUCAUCCUCAGCCACGGAUGCCUAGUGAACUAAUCAAAUACAUUGGAAAGACUUAUAAUGCAUGGCACAUUGCAUUGACACUACUGGAAAGUCGUGUAAUGUUGUCCUUGAAUGACAUGAAGUGCUCUGAGUCUCUGGCAGAGCUUUAUCGAUUGCUUAACGAAGAAGAUAUGAGGUGUGGUUUAUGGAAGAAGAGAACAAUUACGGCAGAAACUAGGUCUGGACUGUCUCUAGUUCAGCAUGGUUAUUGGCAACAGGCACAAAGCCUUUUCUACCAUGGCAUGGUGAAAGCAACUCAAGGUACUUACAACAAUACUGUACCAAAAGCUGAGAUGUGUCUUUGGGAAGAACAGUGGCUCCAUUGUGCUACUCAACUGAGUCAGUGGGAAGCUUUGGUGGAGUUUGGCAAACAGAUUGAAAAUUAUGAGAUACUACUAGAUAGUCUGUGGAAACAGCCUGAUUGGGCAUAUCUGAAAGAUCAUGUUGUUUCAAAGGCUCAAGUAGAAGAAACUGCAAAGCUCUGUAUAAUCCAAGCAUAUUUUUAUCUUCAUGAGAAAAAUACAAAUGGAGUAGCAGAGGCUGAAAGCAUAGUGGGAAAAGGCGUUGAUCUAGCUUUGGAACACUGGUGGCAAUUGCCCGAAAUGUCCAUUAAUGCUAGAAUUCCCCUACUGCAGCAGUUUCAGCAACUAGUUGAAGUUCAAGAGUCAGCACGGAUUAUUGUGGAUAUUGCAAAUGGGAACAAACUUCCUGCUAAUUCUGUUGUUGGUGUUCAUGGGGGCUUGUAUGCAGAUCUCAAGGAUAUCCUCGAGACAUGGAGAUUGAGGACACCGAAUGAAUGGGACAAUACAUCUGUUUGGUAUGAUUUGCUUCAGUGGAGGAAUGAGAUGUAUAAUGUAGUUAUAGAUGCAUUUAAGGAUUUUGGUAAUACAAAUUCACAGUUGCAUCAUCUUGGAUUCCGUGACAAGGCAUGGAAUGUCAAUAAACUUGCUCACAUUGCCCGAAAGCAUGGCUUGGAUGAUGUUUGUGUGUCUAUACUGGAGAAAAUGUACGGCCACUCUACAAUGGAAGUUCAGGUGGUGUGGAUUUGCCUUUACAUUUUAUCUCAACCUCCUUUACCUGCAUUUACAGUCCUACUCUUACAUCUGCCUCUUGGCAGGUAGGGGAGAGAGUGGAUUAUUACUUUGGGUUUAGGGGUGACAUAUGACAAUUUUUUGAAUUAUUGCUUUUGCAGGAAGCUUUUGUUAAAAUAAGAGAACAAGCGAAGGCGUACUUGGAAAUGAAAGGAGAGCUAAUCAGUGGUCUUAAUUUGAUUAAUAGUACUAACCUGGAACAUUUUCCUGUUAAAAACAAGGCUGAAAUUUUUCGCCUGAAGGGUGAUUUUCUGUUGAAGCUUAGUGACGGUGAAGGUGCAAAUCUUGCUUAUUCAAAUGCCAUCAGUCUCUUCAAGAACUUGCCUAAAGGAUGGAUCAGUUGGGGCAAUUAUUGUGACAUGGUAUGCAUUAUUCGUUUUUGGUAAUAAAAAUUUCUAUACACUAAUAGUGUUAAUGCUUAUUAUGUCUGUUUUCUCAGGCUUACAGAGAAACCCAUGAGGAAAUUUGGUUAGAAUUUUAUAAUAAAUAAGGGGAAUACUUAUGAUAUGAAGAGCAUGUGGCAUAGCCAUGAUGACAUAUGCUGCCAUUAUGCCACCAGGUUCUUCCUUUUCUUGGCUUAUGAUAUUUCUGGGGCAAAUAUCCCCAUUGGAUGGAUUUAUGCUUUAGAAUUUGGUUUGGCGUGGGGGUGUCUAUUGAUAGGAGCAGACCAUCUUGAAAUUGCUUUAAAUUUAUUGAAAACUCAAAUACUGGUUGUCCUUCUUGCUCUUUGUAUAAAAGGUAAUUGUAAUUGCUUUUAAAUCUGGCCUCACUGUAGGUAUUGGACCUUAUCAUCCCACUUAGAGAGCUGGCACAUGCAGAUGCAAAUGUUGCGUAUCAUUUGUGGGUCUUGGUGUUUCCUAUUGUUUGGGUGACCUUGCACAAGGAUGAACAGGUAACACUAGCUAAGCCCAUGAUAGCCCUCUUGUCAAAGGACUAUCAUAAGAAGCAGCAAGCACAUAGGCCAAAUGUUGUGCAAGCUCUUUCGGAAGGACUUCAAUUAUGUCAUCCUCAGCCACGGAUGCCUAGUGAACUAAUCAAAUACAUUGGAAAGACUUAUAAUGCAUGGCACAUUGCACUGACACUACUGGAAAGUCGUGUAAUGUUGUCCUGGAAUGACAUGAAGUGCUCUGAGUCUCUGGCAGAGCUUUAUCGAUUGCUUAACGAAGAAGAUAUGAGGUGUGGUUUAUGGAAGAAGAGAACAAUUACGGCAGAAACUAGGUCUGGACUGUCUCUAGUUCAGCAUGGUUAUUGGCAACAGGCACAAAGCCUUUUCUACCAUGGCAUGGUGAAAGCAACUCAAGGUACUUACAACAAUACUGUACCAAAAGCUGAGAUGUGUCUUUGGGAAGAACAGUGGCUCCAUUGUGCUACUCAACUGAGUCAGUGGGAAGCUUUGGUGGAGUUUGGCAAACAGAUUGAAAAUUAUGAGAUACUACUAGAUAGUCUGUGGAAACAGCCUGAUUGGGCAUAUCUGAAAGAUCAUGUUGUUUCAAAGGCUCAAGUAGAAGAAACUGCAAAGCUCUGUAUAAUCCAAGCAUAUUUUUAUCUUCAUGAGAAAAAUACAAAUGGAGUAGCAGAGGCUGAAAGCAUAGUGGGAAAAGGCGUUGAUCUAGCUUUGGAACACUGGUGGCAAUUGCCCGAAAUGUCCAUUAAUGCUAGAAUUCCCCUACUGCAGCAGUUUCAGCAACUAGUUGAAGUUCAAGAGUCAGCACGGAUUAUUGUGGAUAUUGCAAAUGGGAACAAACUUCCUGCUAAUUCUGUUGUUGGUGUUCAUGGGGGCUUGUAUGCAGAUCUCAAGGAUAUCCUCGAGACAUGGAGAUUGAGGACACCGAAUGAAUGGGACAAUACAUCUGUUUGGUAUGAUUUGCUUCAGUGGAGGAAUGAGAUGUAUAAUGUAGUUAUAGAUGCAUUUAAGGAUUUUGGUAAUACAAAUUCACAGUUGCAUCAUCUUGGAUUCCGUGACAAGGCAUGGAAUGUCAAUAAACUUGCUCACAUUGCCCGAAAGCAUGGCUUGGAUGAUGUUUGUGUGUCUAUACUGGAGAAAAUGUACGGCCACUCUACAAUGGAAGUUCAGGUGGUGUGGAUUUGCCUUUACAUUUUAUCUCAACCUCCUUUACCUGCAUUUACAGUCCUACUCUUACAUCUGCCUCUUGGCAGGUAGGGGAGAGAGUGGAUUAUUACUUUGGGUUUAGGGGUGACAUAUGACAAUUUUUUGAAUUAUUGCUUUUGCAGGAAGCUUUUGUUAAAAUAAGAGAACAAGCGAAGGCGUACUUGGAAAUGAAAGGAGAGCUAAUCAGUGGUCUUAAUUUGAUUAAUAGUACUAACCUGGAACAUUUUCCUGUUAAAAACAAGGCUGAAAUUUUUCGCCUGAAGGGUGAUUUUCUGUUGAAGCUUAGUGACGGUGAAGGUGCAAAUCUUGCUUAUUCAAAUGCCAUCAGUCUCUUCAAGAACUUGCCUAAAGGAUGGAUCAGUUGGGGCAAUUAUUGUGACAUGGUAUGCAUUAUUCGUUUUUGGUAAUAAAAAUUUCUAUACACUAAUAGUGUUAAUGCUUAUUAUGUCUGUUUUCU